AAGAAUUAAACAUGUCAUUGAAAUUGCAAUAAUAAAGCAAAAGGAUUCAGAACAAAUUAUAUAACAGUUUAUAAAAUGUGCCUUCCUAUUGUUAAACAGAGGCUAAACUUCAAGUUUCAAAUCAGGAUGUAUUUCAGCUGCCUCAGUGGUUAUGAAUGAUUUCAGUUGGAGGUAGGAUGAGUACAUGGUGUAAAGAUUUUAGCCACUACUGAACAAAU
rnacentral:misc_RNA from 1 species